ensembl:lncRNA
GCGUGUGGUGCAUUUGAAGGGGUGAGGGAGGCCGGGUGUGGCGGCUCAAGCCUGUAAUCCCGGCACUUUGGGAGGCUGAGGCAGGUGGAUCACGAGAUCAAGAGAUCUAGACCAUCCUGGUCAAAAUGGUGAAACCCCGUCUCUACUAAAGAUACAAAAAAUUAGCUGGGCAUGGUGGCGCGUGCCUGUAAUCCCAGCUACUCAGGAGGCUGAGGCAGGAGAAUUGCCUGAACCCAGGAGGCGGAGGUUGCGGUGAGCCGAGAUCGCGCCAUUGCACUCCAGCCUGGGUAACAAGAGCGAAACUCCGUCUCAAAAAAAAAGAAAAAAGAAGGGUGACGGGAGCAGAGUGUGUGCUCAGGAGUGAGGACUUCAGACUUUAUUCCAGGGAAGGGAAAACUAUAAAUGGGGUUGCAGUAGAGAAGUAGAGUGAUAUAGUUUUGCCGUGAAAGAAAGAUCAACAUGGAGUAUGAAUCAAUGAAGGAACCACAAUGCUUCUACCAGUUCCUCCCUCAUCCUGAGAGACCUCUACACUUUGGAUUCCUCUGCUUGUGAUAACAGCUAUAUUUACUUUGGUCUUUUUCAACGAGUCCUCCAAGUGUCGAUUGUUGAAGGAUAGCCUUCUGUGGCUAAGCACACAUGCUAAUAGACAUAAAUCUGUAAGCAGUUUUGGGAAGUGAUUGGGAAGAAAAAGAUACUUCAUUUGUUGCAGAGACGAUGAGGCAGAAGAUAGAGAGGCCUGGCAGGAAAGCUAUCCAGCCAGCUGCUCAGAGAGCCUCAUAAUGCCAGCCCCUUAAUGGGGUUCACAUAUCCCAAGAGCUGACCACAGCAAAUGAAGACUACAAAGUUAAUUAUCUGUUUUCCACUGCUCAAGGGAGGAGCACAUUGUAGACGCCUAUUUGUUCCAAAAUUCUGACAUAGCCACAUUUGAGCAAGGAUCCAGGAAUAUAUUCCUUCAAAGAAAAAAACAUUUUCCAGGAAAAAAGUUGAGAAUACUUGGAAAUUUAAGGAAUUAUAAAAAUAUCUUUGUCUUGGGACUCCCAGCAGGCUGGACCGAUUCAGAUGGUCCCCAUUUUAAAGAAUGUGAAACGAAAAGAUCACGGAGGCCUGGUGUGUUGCAUGUUAGGAAUGAACCAUCCACCUCCCCUCCUAGACAAAAGGCUUCUACUGACUUCAGAAGAGUGACUGAUUCUGCCAGAAGCUGUUUCUGCCUAUGUGGGGUUUUCAGAGCUAAAAAUAGCAAAGAUGAUAAAAAUAUUGUAUGUAAGUGACGAAUACUAUACAAUGAUCACAUCCUAGUCAAUUAUCGUAUCCCAACAGUAGCCUGGUGGGCUGACCACCUUGGCUCUGGUUUUAUAAGUGGCCAAAAAUUUGUCUGUGCCUUAAGUGCUGCCUCUAUAGAAGUAUUUAAUUCAGAAAAUUAAUACAGGUGAUUAAAUAGUGUUUACCUUUCACUCCCACAAAAUGCAACCAUUUGGAUACCUGUUAUAUGGGAAAGAUUACUGAACAGAGCACUCUAGAAUUGGAUCUCACUUUCUUACUGAGCAUUUGCUUUUUCCAUAUUGUAUAACCUCUCAGAGACCUGGUUUCCUUAAUGCUUGGCACCUGAAAUGUCAGUAUCAGUAAUUAUAUGAAUGAAUGAAUGAACAAAUGAAUGAAUGAAUGACUAUUAGCUCCCCCCGCCUAUUAGGAUUUUGGCAAGUACCGUUUCAGAAACGAUGGUCAAAAUGUUUACAAACUGAACAAUAUCAUUAAAAAAAUGUAACGUGUUGUUAUUGUUAAAAUCAAUAAUAAUAAUAAUGGUAAUCUAAAACUGAUUAUGUAAGAAAAGAAAAAAACCUUGUUUGUGCCAUCAAAAUGCUGCCUCAGAAUCCAAGCUGUUGAUUCCCUAUAUUGUAUUCAUAAAAGAAUCACAAUUUUUUAAAGCUCUUACUAACACAAAACCCAAACACACUUAAACCAUGCUUUUUUGUUGGUUUGUCUUGGUUUGGUUUUUGAGUCAGGGUCAGGCUCUGUCGCUCAGGCUGGAGUUCAGUGGCACGAUCACAGCUCACUGCAGCCUCAACCUUCUGGGCUCAAGCAAUCUUCCCACCUCAGCCUCCUGAGUAACUGGGACCACAGGCAGUGGCCACCACUCCUGGCUAAUUUUGUUGUUGUCAUUGUUAGAGGCAGGGUUUCUCCAUGUUGCCCGGGCUGGUCUCAUACUCCUGUGCUCAAGCAAUCCUUCCGCCUCAACCUCCCAAAGUGCUGGGAUUGCAGGUUUAAGCCACCACACUUGGCCUAAAAUAUGCUUUAAAACUUAAUAAUUUUUUCUAAGAUAGUUUUUUAUUCACAUCAGAAGCAUCAGUUUAGAAGGAUGGGCAAGGUGACCAGAGAAGUGAGAGGUGAGAAUUGAUGCACUGACAGUGAGAAAGAGGACUGGGAAAAAACUGUUGAAACUUCUGGACUCAAGGACCAGACUGUGAUUAUGUAAUGCAGAUGCAAGUAUCCCACUCUUAGAAAACCCUAUGGGUAUCAUUUUAUUACAGCGUUUUGCAACUGAUAUUAAUAGUGAUGACAAAGACCACAUAAUUAGUAUGAGUAUACUCUAGUUAAAAUGCAAAGAAAUGACUAGCACACAUCUUUGGACUAUCUUCCAAUAAAAAUGCUUCUUAAAAAUUUUGGUGCUUUGAAGAGCAAUUCUCAAUUUGUGGUCCAGGAAUAUUACAUCAUUCUAUAUUUCAUUCCUCACGGGUCAGGUUUUCUCUGCCUUAAAGAUUGGUACUAACUCCAAGCAAGUCCUUUCUGUGUCUUCCCUCCCAAACCGGGGACACAUUAGCUAAAGGGUUCACCAAGCAUAGUCCUGGGGAACUGCUAACCUGCUAACCUGCUAACCUGCUAACCUGCUAGAAGACCUCAGAGACAUGGAAGUCCAUUUGUGAGUUCUUAUUGGUGGCUGACUCAUAAUUCUGCAGAACCUUACCAGUUAGAGAGCUAUUUUUAU